UACGUAGGGUGCAAGCGUUGUCCGGAAUUAUUGGGCGUAAAGAGCUCGUAGGCGGUCUGUCGCGUCUGCUGUGAAAAUCCAGGGCUCAACCCUGGACCUGCAGUGGGUACGGGCAGACUAGAGUGCGGUAGGGGAGAGCGGAAUUCCUGGUGUAGCGGUGAAAUGCGCAGAUAUCAGGAGGAACACCGGUGGCGAAGGCGGAUCUCUGGGCCGGAACUGACGCUGAGGAGCGAAAGCAUGGGGAGCGAACAGG
rnacentral:rRNA from 1 species